UACGGGGGGGGCAAGCGUUGUUCGGAAUUACUGGGCGUAAAGGGCUCGUAGGCGGCCAACUAAGUCGGAUGUGAAAUCCCCAGGCUUAACCUGGGAACUGCAUCCGAUACUGGAUGGCUUGAAUCCGGGAGAGGGAUGCAGAAUUCCAGGUGUAGCGGUGAAAUGCGUAGAUAUCUGGGAGGAUACCGGUGGCGAAGGCGGCAUCCUGGACCGGCAUUGACGCUGAUGAGCGAAAGCCAGGGGAGCAAACGGG
rnacentral:rRNA from 1 species